GACGAACGCUGGCGGCAGGCUUAACACAUGCAAGUCGAGCGCCCCGCAAGGGGAGCGGCAGACGGGUGAGUAACGCGUGGGAAUCUACCCAUCCCUAGGGGAUAACACAGAGAAAUUUGUGCUAAUACCCUAUACGUCCUCCGGGAGAAAGAUUUAUCGGGGAUGGAUGAGCCCGCGUUGGAUUAGCUAGUUGGUGGGGUAAUGGCCUACCAAGGCGACGAUCCAUAGCUGGUCUGAGAGGAUGACCAGCCACACUGGGACUGAGACACGGCCCAGACUCCUACGGGAGGCAGCAGUGGGGAAUAUUGGACAAUGGGCGGAAGCCUGAUCCAGCCAUGCCGCGUGAGUGAUGAAGGCCUUCGGGUUGUAAAGCUCUUUCGCACGCGACGAUGAUGACGGUAGCGUGAGAAGAAGCCCCGGCUAACUUCGUGCCAGCCGCCGCGGUAACAC
rnacentral:rRNA from 1 species